rnacentral:rRNA from 1 species
GGAUUCCCCUAGUAACUGCGAGUGAAGCGGGAAAAGCUCAAAUUUAAAAUCUGGCGGUCUUUGGCCGUCCGAGUUGUAAUCUAGAGAAGUGUUACCCGCGUCGGACCGUGUACAAGUCUCCUGGAAUGGAGCGUCAUAGAGGGUGAGAAUCCCGUCUUUGACACGGACUACCGAGGCUUUGUGGUGCGCUCUCAAAGAGUCGAGUUGUUUGGGAAUGCAGCUCAAAAUGGGUGGUAAAUUCCAUCUAAAGCUAAAUAUUGGCGAGAGACCGAUAGCGAACAAGUACCGUGAGGGAAAGAUGAAAAGAACUUUGGAAAGAGAGUUAAACAGUACGUGAAAUUGCUGAAAGGGAAACGCUUGAAGUCAGUCGCGUCGUCCGGGAAUCAGCCUUCCUUCUGGUUGGUGUACUUCCUGGUUGACGGGCCAGCAUCAGUUUUGACCGGUGGAAAAAGUUCGAGGGAAUGUGGCACCUUCGGGUGUGUUAUAGCCCUCGUUCGUAUACAUCGGUUGGGACUGAGGAACUCAGCACGCCGCAAGGCCGGGAUUCGUCCACGUUCGUGCUUAGGAUGCUGGCAUAAUGGCUUUAAUCGACCCGUC